AUGUCACUUAAAGACAACCCAUGCAGGUCCAGCUCACGUGAAAGAAAGCUAACAGAGAAAGGCCAAGAGAUGCAUGACCAAGACACCAGAAAACGUGAGAAAGCAUUUAACAAGACCUAUGACGCUUGGAAGCUGGUAGCAAGGGAGACUAGGACAAAAUUAAAAACCCUCUGUUCAUCAGAAGACCUUAUUGAAUUACAGCAAGACAUUCAAGCAAAGCAUGAUGGCGUGUGCCAGCAGUAUGAACCUUUACUUCGUAACAGUAACACCACACCAGAGAUUGUAAAGAAGAUGGAUGCCUGUGUUACGCUAACAAAAGACAUUCGUGACCUUAUUAGUAACCGUCUAGAGACUAUUAAUCAAGAUUAUAAUGAUCAACUUGAGAAGGAAAGGGUAAGAGAAACAUUAAACAAAGAUGAAUAUGGGUCUGUCUUUGGCCACACUAAAACUGAAACGGUAAGCUCAGCGGAGUCACCGGAGAGAUUGAGCAACCACUCCAGCUCAACCAGUACCCACAGCAGUAGAGUAGAUGCACAAGCAGAGCUUGCGGCUAAGCUGGAACAAUCAAAAGCCAUGAAAGAAAUCCAAGCACAGCAAGCACAUCUUCACAAGUUAGAAGGUGAAUGGAAACUUAAAGAGGCAAAAAUGUUAGUAGAAAUGAAACAAAAAGAGUUGGAAAUGGAACAACAGUUGGAACAAGAGAGAACCAAAUUGCAGCAGUUACAAGCAGCAAAAGACGUUGCCAUAGCAGCAGCUCGUGUGAGAGCAUAUGACAAUUUUGAAGGGUUUGAGAACCAUGAUGAGGAGAUUAAUGACCAAACUAACUCUGCUUGCUACAGAAAGCAAAAUGAACCUCGAUUAAAUCCUGAUGCUGCAUCAUUCCAUCCACACCAAGCUGCUCCUGAGGUGACAAUGACCCAGGAGUCUGUCAGUCUAGCCCAGGUAAUCGCCAGCUCAUUAAGCAUGAACCGCUUGCCGGUCCCUGAACCAACCACGUUCCGUGGUGACCCUUUACAGUUUACAGAUUGGAGGAUGACAUUCAUAGCUCUUAUUGAUAGAAAACCCCUCCCACCAAGUGAGAAGAUGUUUUAUCUAAAAAAUUAUCUUGCUGGAGAGGCGCGCAAAGCGGUAGAAGGUUUCUUUUAUCGAGAUUCAGAAAGUGCAUACAAUGGAGCAUGGAAAGUUUUACAAGACAGAUAUGGGAACCCAUUCAUCAUACAAAAGGCUUUCAGAGAUAAGCUCAUGAGAUGGCCAAAGAUCAACACAAACGAUCCACUAGCACUACAAGAGUUCGCUGACUUCCUCCAAGGCUGCACUGAGGCGAUGCCCCACGUCAAAGGACUAGCUAUCCUUAACGAUUGUGAGGAAAACCACAAGUUGCUCAAAAAAUUACCAGAAUGGAUUGUGCGCAAGUGGAGUCGAAUUGUUGUAGAGGAACUUGACACAUCCGGAAGCUAUCCAGAUCUUGCAUGCUUCACAAACUUCCUGAGCAAAGAGGCACGGAUAGCCUGUAACCCUAUUGCUUCUCCAUUGUUGAUGAACUUCAGGUCCACAAAUGAAAGAUCACCAAAGAGAGCCAAAGCUCUCAACACAAAUACACAAACAAAGAGUUUCGCUCAGGAGAAACAAGAAACAAACGGCAGUAAACCAAAAUCACCUUGCUUCAUCUGUAAAAGUGAAGCUCAUAACAUCACCAAGUGCCCCACCUUCGCAGCAAAGAGUAGUGAAGACAAAAAAGCAUUCAUCUGUGAAAAUCGGCUCUGCUUUGGGUGCUUGAGGAAGGGUCACAUGACCAAAGAUUGUAAGAGACGACACACAUGCAGCAUAUGCAGCCGUCGUCACCCAACCUGCUUGCACGAUGACAGGAAACAAAGACCUGUGGAAGCAACAACGAAUAGCUCCACUUCCACAGAAAACCAUGCAAGCUUGGAAAUGCACAAUGUCGUAUCCCAUGCAUCAACACAGCGUGCUUCCGCUACCUCAAGUAUCGUCCCAGUCCUUGUGUCUUCAAUACAAGAGCCACACAGAGAAGUACUUACAUACGCAAUACUGGACACACAGAGUGACUCAACAUUUGUCUUAGAAGAUAUACUUGACAAACUGAAUGUUGAUGCCCAACCAGUAAAAUUAAAAUUGAGUACUAUGACGGCUAUUGACACAAUCAUAUCUAGCAAGAACGUCCGUGGUCUACAAGUUCGAGGACUGCACUCUAAGAACCACAUCCAAUUACAGCAGGCCUACAGCCGUGACUUUAUCCCGGUGGACAAGUCUUACGUUCCAACGAAGGAAACAGCCUUACUCUGGCCUCAUCUCAGACAUUUGGCAGAUAAGCUACCACCCCUUCAAGACUGUGAUGUAGGGCUCUUGAUUGGAUAUGACUGUCCAGCAGCACUAACUCCUCUUGAGGUUAUCAUUGGGGACAAAAAUCAACCGUUUGCACAGAGAUCAAAUCUAGGAUGGAGUAUCAUAGGCUCAUCAAAUCCUCACCUAGACAGACAAGGAAGUCAGAGCUUUGUGCAUCGGCUCACAGUAAAGGAACUGCCAAUUCCAUCGACGACAGAUGUUCUAAAAGCCCUAGAAUCAGACUUCACCGAGAGAACUUAUGAAGAUAAAUAUGUGUCCCAGAACGAUGUUCAUUUCAUACAGUUCCUCAGUGACAACAUCACGCAGAAGAAAGAUGGACAUUAUGAGAUGCCCCUCCCUUUCAAGGGCAACAGUCCACCCAACCUACCAAACAACAAGAGGCUAGCCACAGUUCGCCUGCAGUGCCUUAAGAAGAAGUUAAAGACCAAUAAACAAUAUUAUAAUCAAUACAAAACAUUCAUGGAAGAAACAAUUAACAAGGGUGAUGCAGAGCCUGCCCCUACAACAUUUACAGGAGAGACUGAAUGGUACCUUCCGCAUCACGGCAUAUAUCACCCCAGAAAACCAGACAAGCUGAGAGUCGUAUUCGACUGUUCAGCCAAAUUCCAUGGUGUUUCUCUAAACGACACUCUACUAACUGGGCCUGAUCUUAUCAAUCCUCUGGUAGGAGUUCUCUGCCGCUUCAGGAAGGAGGCUGUAGCGAUCAUUUGUGAUAUCGAAAGAAUGUUUUAUCAGUUCUCUGUCACUCCUGAAUCCCGGAAUUAUCUGAAAUUCCUCUGGUGGAAAGAUGGAGAUUUGGAAAAGGAACCACAGGAAUACAGGAUGGCGGUUCAUCUCUUCGGAGCUGCCUCGUCUCCAGGAUGUGCCAACUUUGGCUUGAAACAUCUGGCACGGCAACACAAAGCUACCUAUCCACUAGCAUCAACAUUUGUAGAGAAAAACUUUUAUGUUGAUGACGGGCUAGUCAGUGUUCCAUCUGUCGAGGAAGCCAAGAAACUGAUCACUGAGUCACAGGAGUUGUGCAAAAGAGGAGGCCUACGCCUCCAUAAAUUCAACUCUAAUGAGGAAGCAGCCCUCGCCUUCUUAGAUCCCUCAGAAAGAGCAGCAACCAUUGAACCUCUAGGACUGGAACCAACCCUAUCAGAGCGUGCACUCGGCAUUCAAUGGUCGAUUAAAUCUGACACUUUCAGUUUUAACAGCAGCUUGAAAGAUCAGCCUUCAACCCGGCGUGGUUGCCUUUCUGUCAUUGCCUCUCUUUAUGAUCCACUUGGAUUCAUCGCUCCAUUCAGCCUAACUGGAAAGCGUAUACUUCAAGAGCUGUGUCACAGAGGCAUCGGAUGGGAUGAUCCACUCCCAGAAGAUAUAAGGCCACGGUGGGAGGAGUGGAUAAAUGGGCUUCAGAGGUUGAAAGAGGUUUCAAUUCCGAGAUGUUACCACCCAUAUGACUUCCAUAACAUUGUCAGAGUAGAGCUGCACCAUUUUUCGGACGCCAGCUGCGUGGGAUACGGUGCAUGUUCUUACCUCAGGUUUAAAAAUGACAAGGAUGAAGUCCAUUGCAGUCUCGUGCUGGCGAAAGCAAGGGUUGCACCCUCAAAGGUCAAAAGUAUCCCGAGACUAGAACUCGCGGCAGCUGUGGUUUCUACGAAAGUCAGUGUCAUGUUAAAAGGUGAACUUGACAUAGCGAUUGAUGAAGAGGUUUUCUGGACAGAUUCAAAAGUUGUGCUUGGGUAUAUUAACAAUGAUGCCCGUAGAUUCCACAUAUUUGUUGCAAACCGUGUUCAGCUGAUAAGGGAUAACAGUGAUCCCAGUCAGUGGCACUAUGUGGACACCGCAGAAAACCCGGCAGAUCAUGCUUCCCGAGGUCUUCGUGCUUCAGACAUUCAUUCAACAAACUGGCUGCGAGGACCGAAGUUUCUCUGGGAGAGUAAAUUACUUCUAACACCCAGCGCUCCAUCAGAAUUACUUGUUGGUGAUCCUGAAGUCAAGACAAUUCAGGUGUUUGCAACGGAAGUCAAAAACUACAAUGACAUCCUCAGGCGUCUGUGUCAGUUUUCCUCCUGGACAACAGUUCUUAAGGUGGUGGCAAGAAUCAAGAGGCUGGGGUCUAAACAGAAACAGCACAGUGAGUAUGUGACUGUUAAGGAGCGUGAGAAGGCUGCAUACGAAGUGAUUAAGAUCGUACAGCAGCAAGCUUUCCCCCAGGAGAUAAAGAUGCUUCAGGAUAAAAAAGACCUUCCAAACUCAAGCUCUCUUUUCCGUCUCGACCCUAUCUGGUCUGAAGGACUCCUCUGUGUUGGUGGCAGAUUGAACCAGUCAUCGCUCUGUCAUAAAGUCAAGCACCCAGUCAUCCUACCGAAUAACAGCCACAUCACCAAGCUGAUUGUGUCUCAUUUCCACGCUAAGACAUGCCAUCAGGGUCGAAGCCAGACUUUAAUGGAGCUUCGGGCCAAUGGAUUCUGGGUAAUUGGUGGGAGCAGAUUGGUUGCUAAGCUGAUACACACUUGUGUGCUUUGCAGGAAACUGCGACGGCCGACAGAGAGACAACAAAUGGCCGAACUUCCCACAGAACGCGUUGAAGCCUCAGCACCUUUCACAUACAGCGGCAUGGACUGUUUCGGUCCUUUCAUUGUAAGGAAAGCCCGCAAAGAGUACAAAAGAUACGGCUUGAUUUUCACAUGUCUGUACUCUAGAGCUGUUCAUAUUGAAAUGCUCGAAGAUUUAUCAACAGACUCAUUCAUCAACUCAUUGAGAUGCUUCAUCAGCCUGAGAGGAGCUGUUAAACAACUUCGCUGCGACCAAGGCUCUAAUUUUGUUGGCGCCAGGAAUGAGCUCAAGGAAGCACUUAAACAAUGUGACACUAAGCUACUGGAAAUCUUCCUGACUGAGAAGCAGUGCGAAUUUGUCUUCAAUGCUCCCUCUGACAGUCCUGCAGGUGGUGUCUGGGAACGCCAGAUCAGAACUGUUAGAAAUGUGCUGAAUGCCGCCUUUGCACAGUGCCCAGGUCGACUUGAUGAUGCCUCCCUCAGAACACUGCUAUAUGAGACCAUGGCUAUCGUUAACAGCCGCCCGUUAACAGUGGAUGGAAUCAAUGAUCCACAGGCACUGGAGCCUAUAACGCCGAAUCAUCUCAUUAUGAUGAAAUCUAAAGUUGCUCUUCCUCCUCCUGGAGUAUUUGUCAGGGAGGACCUAUAUGCGACAAAGAGGUGGAGAAGAGUUCAGUAUCUCAUCGAACAGUUUUGGAGCCGCUGGAAAAAGGAGUAUCUGCUGAACAUAUCCUUGAGACAGAAAUGGCACUCACCUCAGCGCAACCUCAAAGUGAAUGACAUUGUCAUUGUUAAAGACGACAACCUCCCAAGAAAUCAGUGGCAACUUGGACGGGUGAUUGAGACUGUUCAAAGUAGUGAUGGCUUGGUUCGUCGAGUUAAAGUGCAAGUUGUUUUCACGGUGUUCAUGGUGCAUGGUGCUCGUUGAGAGGAAGAAAUAAAUUGACACCCGUUUGAAACUCUCUGCGUCUUGAUCAAUAUAUCCGAGGGGCCGCUACACACCCGGCACAAUGCGGUGCAAGUUUCAUCCCUACGCAGUUCUCCUUUUCCCGUCCUGUGCCGCGUUAUAUACAUAGGAAAUGCAUUUGCGCCCAUCCGUGUGAUGGUUUAAAAAUAGAGUCGUGUUCAGGUGCAUUGUUAGUGCUUUGCUAUUUUGAGGAACUGAAAAUAGACUGCACCAUAGACCAGCUCAAACCUGAUUUAGAAGUCAAUGGUGCAAUAUUUGCAUUUAUUUAUUUUUG
ensembl:lncRNA